rnacentral:lncRNA from 1 species
GCAGAGUGGAACAUGGCGGCCUCCUUGCCGCUUGCGUUACCAGAGUCCACCCGGCCUCGUGCUUUCUCCGGGCGCCCGUAGCUGGCGCCGGCAUCCACAAAAAUAGAUCAGACCCUGAGAGCCUACUGACCACAGCAGCUCCUGUUACCACGGCUGCCGUUUCUGCUCUCAAUGCUACUGCUCAUUGAUCCCAGGGAGGAAAAUUCUGGUGCAUCACUUAGUAUUUAUUUCAGAUUUCAACCAAAACAACAUAUUGCAAGAUUGAAUGCAGAAGUAGAUGUGAGAACUCAUUCUAUUAAGCCAAGCGUAAAUGUUUAAAAAUGUAAAAUAAUACCACUCUUCUGAUAUGUUUUGGGAGAAAAUAUGUUUGUGGAAAAUAUACCUAUCAAAGAAAUAUCAGAAACCUUCCAAACUGAAGGACAUGUGUAUCCAGAUUAAAAUGACCUUCCAAAUGCUUAACAUAGUAAACAAAAAACAGGAGGAAAAGGAGGGGAGAAAAGAAAAAAAGAAGACUCACACAAGGCCGUGUUACGACAUUUCAUCAUACCAUAGAUAAAUCAGAUCCUGAAAGAUUUCAGAAAGGAAUAUGAGAUCACACAUAAAGGAACAGGAAUCAAAAUGACAUUACCCUUCUCAACAACACUGGAAGCUCCAAGAGAGUGCAGCAAUGCUUUCAUCCUCAGAGAAAAUAAUUAUCAAUACAAAAUAAUAUUCCCAGCUAAGCUAUCAAUCAUGAGGGUAGAAGAAAGGCAUUUUUAGCCAUUGCGUGGGAGUGCUAUAAUAAUGGUCCCAGUGAACCACACCUCCC